rnacentral:rRNA from 1 species
CACCGCGGUUAUACGAGAGGCCCAAGUUGAUAGACAUCGGCGUAAAGCGUGGUUAAGGAAAACUAAAACUAAAGCCGAACACCUUAAGAGCAGUUAUACGCCUACUAAGGUACGAAGCCCCACCACGAAAGUGGCUUUACAACCCCUGACCCCACGAAAGCUAUGAUA